UGUCACAGAAAGGACAGCUAUGUUAAGUGAAUGAAGAAAGCUCUUGCAUCAGCCCUUGUGUGGCAGAUCAGACAAUGGUUGCAAUCUAAGGCGGCCACUUCGGCAUCACCAGGAAAAGGAAAUACAUCGCCAGGCAACAGCAGUGGAAAGGACAAAAGAGGGAUUGCAAAAACAUCAGUAGGUUAAUUUACAAAGGUUUGAAAACAGGCCUUGUGGUGAUAAUAUGAAAAUGGAAGGAAAAUUCAGGCUUCUUACUUCAAAGAUAUUUCAUUCACUGAGAAAGUGAAGUGACAUGCAAGAAAAUAACAUGUGUGAGUAGCAACUUGAUAUUUAUCUUGUUUUCAGAAGAAGGAAAAGUUAAAGCUUCAUCCAUGCUUGCUAACUGAAAAAAACAAAAAAGAAUUAAUAUGUGAAUUGUACCAUUUAAAUGUUCCCCAGAUUGGUAUGACUCAUCAGAACACAUUUAUUGGCAAGAAAUUACUUCUGGAUGUAUAGUACCAUA